rnacentral:rRNA from 1 species
AACGAACGCUGGCGGCAUGCCUAACACAUGCAAGUCGAACGAGACCUUCGGGUCUAGUGGCGCACGGGUGCGUAACGCGUGGGAAUCUGCCCUUGGGUUCGGAAUAACAGCGAGAAAUUGCUGCUAAUACCGGAUGAUGACGUAAGUCCAAAGAUUUAUCGCCCAAGGAUGAGCCCGCGUAGGAUUAGCUAGUUGGUGAGGUAAAGGCUCACCAAGGCGACGAUCCUUAGCUGGUCUGAGAGGAUGAUCAGCCACACUGGGACUGAGACACGGCCCAGACUCCUACGGGAGGCAGCAGUGGGGAAUAUUGGACAAUGGGGCGAAAGCCUGAUCCAGCAAUGCCGCGUGAGUGAUGAAGGCCUUAGGGUUGUAAAGCUCUUUUACCCGGGAUGAUAAUGACAGUACCGGGAGAAUAAGCUCCGGCUAACUCCGUGCCAGCAGCCGCGGUAAU